rnacentral:misc_RNA from 1 species
GGAAGGAUCAUUAACGAACGGUUCCGAGGGCCCCGCCCUCGCCACCGCAACCCCAUGUCGAUUUUUUUUAAGUCAAAACCUUCAACAACGGAUCUCUUGGUUCUGGCAUCGAUGAAGAACGCAGCGAAAUGCGAUAAGUAGUGUGAAUUGCAGAAUUCCGUGAAUCAUCGAAUCUUUGAACGCACAUUGCGCCCCUCGGCAUUCCGAGGGGCACGCCUGUCCGAGCGUCAUUUCACCGUCCAGCACUGCUGGGUGUUGGGAGCCCGUCGUCGACCCUCCCGCAACGCGUUGGCGGCGCCGUCCUGCCCCUCAGUCGUAGCCGACUUGGAGGCGCGGCCGGCGCCAGCCUGUGGCCACUCGAACCGUUUGACCUCGGAUCAGGCGGGAGGACCCGCUGAACUUAAGCAUAUCAAUAAGCGGAGGAAAAGAAACCAACAGGGAUUGCCCCAGUAACGGCGAGUGAAACGGCAACGGCUCAAAUUUGAAAUCUGGCCUCCGGGUCCGAGUUGUAAUUUGCAGAGGACGCUUCGGCUUCGCCCCGGCCUAAGUUCCUUGGAACAGGACGUCACAGAGGGUGAGAAUCCCGUAUGUGGCCGGCGGCCCCGCCAUGUGAAGCCCCUUCGAUGAGUCGAGUUGUUUGGGAAUGCAGCUCUAAAUGGGAGGUAAAUUUCUUCUAAAGCUAAAUACCGGCCAGAGACCGAUAGCGCACAAGUAGAGUGAUCGAAAGAUGAAAAGCACUUUGAAAAGAGAGUUAAACAGUACGUGAAAUUGUUGAAGGGGAAGCGCUUGCGAUCAGACUCGCGCGCGGCCGCUCACCCGGGCUCCUGCCCGGGGCACUCGGCCGCGUCCGGGCCAGCAUCGGUUCGGGCGGCGGGACAAAGGCCGGUGGAAUGUGGCUCCCCCCGGGGAGUGUUAUAGCCGCCGGCGCCAUGCCGCCCGCCCGGACCGAGGCACGCGUUCGCUAGGAUGCUGGCGGAAUGGUCGUAAGCGGCCCGUCUUGAAACACGGACCAAGGAGUCUAACAUCUGUGCGAGUGUUUGGGUGUCAAGCCCGCACGCGUAAUGAAAGUGAACGGAGGUGGGAACUUCGGUGCACCAUCGACCGAUCCGGAUGUCCUCGGAUGGAUUUGAGUAAGAGCACAGCUGUUGGGACCCGAAAGAUGGUGAACUUUGCGUGUAUAGGGUGAAGCCAGAGGAAACUCUGGUGGAGGCUCGCAGCGGUUCUGACGUGCAAAUCGAUCGUCAAAUAUGCGCAAAGGGGCGAAAGACUAAUCGAACCAUCUAGUAGCUGGUUCCUGC